rnacentral:rRNA from 1 species
GACGAACUGUCCUAACGUUGUUCGGAAUCACUGGGCUUAAAGGGCGCGUAGGCGGUCCGUCAAGUCAGGGGUGAAAUCCUGCAGCUUAACUGUAGAAGUGCCUCUGAUACUGACGGUCUUGAGGGAGAUAGGGGUGUGCGGAACUUCCAGUGGAGCGGUGAAAUGCGUUGAUAUUGGAAGGAACGCCGGAGGCGAAAGCGGCGCACUGGAUCUCUUCUGACGCUGAGGCGCGAAAGCCAGGGGAGCAAACGGG